AGAAAGUUUUAUUAUGGCUUUAAAAUUGGUUAUUUAAUUUUUUCACAUGUAAAUUUUAGUAAAAGUUAAAUUUAAAUAGUUUAGUUUAUUGUUGCAGUGUAUAGUUUUAAGUAUUAAUUUAAUUUAGACUUAGAUAUUUAUUUAAAUGUAAACAAAAUUUGUGCCAGCAGUAGCGGUUAUACAAAUUACGUUAAUCAAUUAUUUAUAGUUUAAUUAAGCGUAUAAUUAUGAGUUAGGAAUUGGGUUUUUUAGGUGAAAUUUUAAAUUUAAUUUAAAUUUUUAUUUGUUGCUGAAGUUGGGAAAUUUCUUUUUAAACUAGGAUUAGAUACCCUAUUAUUGGAAAAGUGAAUUUUUAAACUAUAAUUAUUAAUAGUUAAUAUCUUUAAAAUUAAAGAUUUUGGCGGUAUUUUAGUCUUUUCAGAGGAACCUGUUUAUUGAUCGAUAGUCCACGAUUUAUUUUACUUUAGUUUUAAAUUUGCAUAUCGUUGUAAAAUAAAUAUUUUUAUAGAAUUUUAAUGUUUGAGAUUUAUUAUUAUAUAUUAAUUCAGAUCAAGGUGUAGUUUAUAUUAAAGUUUAAAUGGGUUACAUUAUAUUUAUAUGUGGUUUAUAUAGUUGAAAACUAUAUAAUAAACUGGAUUUGAGAGUAAUUUUUAUAGUUUUAUAGAAUGAUUUAGCUCUAAAAUAUGCACAUAUCGCCCGUCGCUUUCAUUAUAAAAUGAAAUAAGUCGUAACAAAGUAGGCUUAUUGGAAAAUGAGCCUGGAAUGAU
rnacentral:ncRNA from 1 species